CGGCGGACGGGUGAGUAACGCGUGGGUAACCUGCCUCAUACAGGGGGAUAACAGUUAGAAAUGACUGCUAAUACCGCAUAAGACCACGGUACCGCAUGGUACAGUGGUAAAAACUCCGGUGGUAUGAGAUGGACCCGCGUCUGAUUAGGUAGUUGGUGGGGUAACGGCCUACCAAGCCGACGAUCAGUAGCCGACCUGAGAGGGUGACCGGCCACAUUGGGACUGAGACACGGUCCAA
rnacentral:rRNA from 1 species